UAGCCCCUUGUCCAAUGUAUGAUUUGCAAAUCUUUUCUCCAAAUCUGUGGGUUGUAUCUUUAGUCUCUUGUUUCCUUCACUGUGCAGAGCUUUUUAGUUUGAUGAAAUCCCACUUGUCUUUUUUUGUUUUAGUUGCCUGUGCUUGUGGGGCCAUAUUCAAGACAUCACUUCCCAGAGCAACAUCAUGGAACUUGAGAAAAAUAAUCAUUAAUUCCAUGGAAAAUAAAAACUACUAUAGGAAAGGAAAUGUAUUCUUAGUACACUACAUGGCCCAGCAAUCAAAGAUGCUUACAUAAUCACAAAUGACCUAAUCAAAUUAGGAUAUAACUAUUUAUAUCCUAACAAAUUAGGAUAUAACUAUUUAUAUCCUAACAAAUUAGGAUAUAAUCAAAUUAGGAUGGAGAAUGAGGGAGGAUGAACGGCUGUGAUAGGCCAUGAGAAUGAAAAAGAAAAUCUCUUGCUUUCAGAGUGGAAUAGCAGCAUGAUGUCAACCACCAAAACAAACUAUAAACAGACAAGAAACAAUACAAAUAUGUUAUUUAGAGACAUAGCAAUAAAUCCCAAAUAGUCAGCUAAAAAGAGCUGAAAGUUUCUGUGGGUAAGGGAACAAAGGAUUGUCUUCUAGGACUAUUUGUCUCUUCUAAUGAUGAACAUAUAUAACUAUAAAAUAUAAAAUAUAAAACAUAUAUAACUAAAAAAUAUAAAAAUAAAAGUGACUGACUAAUAAUAACAAAAAGCAACUAGAAAGCCUAUAAAAAGCCAUUGAAGUGAAAAGCUCAAGAGAUGGAUUAAAAUAAGAAUAGACAUAAGUCCUUAUGGAGUUUUUUGGUUCAAUAAGUAAAGUAGGGAAAAUUAGAAGGAGAUCAUGUGGAGCAAGGAUCUUGACCAGGAAACCGAGGCCUACUGUGCAGAGUAGGGAAAUUUCUAAACCAGUUACCACUGCCCAGCCCCCUUCUACAGUCUGGCUAAACUAGCAAGAGGAAGAGAGGAAGGGAGGAACCGAGGGCAGCCAGUAGUGCCACCUUCUCUCCACCUUUGGAGAGGGACUUGAUUUCCAGCACCACCUCCCUGCCCUGCCCACACCAACAAAAACCAUUCAUGUCCCAAGCAUUUUACAUGUAUCAAUGUAUUAGCAUUUCAUCCUCACAAUCACAGUAUAAGGUAAGUAUUAUUACUCUUAUAAUUAAAACUAAGGUCCACAGAAUUAAGAAAGAAAUUUGGGUUAGUUCUCUUUCCCAUCUUGCAAGAUGGCGGGUGAAAAAGUUGAGAAGCCAGAUACUAAAGAGAAGAAACCCGAAGCCAAGAAGGCUGAUGGUGGUGGCAAGGUGAAAAAGGGUAACCUCAAGGCUAAGAAGCCCAAGAAGGGUAAGCCCCAUUGCAGCCGCAACCCUGUCCUUGUCAGAGGAAUUGGCAGGUAUUCCCGAUCUGCCAUGUAUUCCAGAAAGACCAUGUACAAGAGGAAGUACUCAGCCACUAAAUCCAAGGUUGAAAAGAAAAAGGAGAAGAUUCUUGCAACACUUACAAAACCAGUUGGUGGUGACAAGAACGGCAGUACCCGGGUGGUUAAACUUCGCAAAAUGCCUAGAUAUUAUCCUACUGAAGAUGUGCCUUGAAAGCUGUUGAGCCACGGCAAAAAACCCUUCAGUCAGCACGUGAGAAAACUGAGCCAGCAUUACCCCCAGGACCAUUCUGAUCAUCCUCACUGAAUGCCACAGGGGCAAGAGGGUGGUUUUCCUGAAGCAGCUGGCUAGUGGCUUGUUACUUGUGACUGGACCUCUGGUCCUCAAUCAAGUUCCUCUAUGAAGAACACACCAGAAAUUUGUCAUUGCCACCUCAACCAAAAUUGGUAUCAGCAAUGUAAAAAUCCCAAAACAUCUUACUGAUGCUUACUUCAAGAAGAAGCUGCGGAAGCCCAGACACCAGAAAGGUGAGAUCUUCAACACAGAAAAAGAGAAAUACGAGAUUACAGAGCAGCGCAAGAUUGAUCAGAAAGCUGUGGACUCAACAAAUUUUACCAAAAAUCAAAGCUGUUCCUCAGCUCCAGGGCUACCUGUGAUCUGUGUUUGCCCUGAUGAAUGGGAUUUAUCCUCACAAAUUGGUGUUCUAAAUGUCUUAAGAACCUCAUUAAAUAGCUAA